UGGGGAAUAUUGCACAAUGGGCGAAAGCCUGAUGCAGCAAUGCCGCGUGUGUGAAGAAGGCCUGCGGGUUGUAAAGCACUUUCGGUGGGAAAGAUUAUGACGGUACCCACAGAAGAAGCACCGGCUAACUCCGUGCCAGCAGCCGCGGUAAUACGGAGGGUGCGAGCGUUAAUCGGAAUUACUGGGCGUAAAGCGCGCGUAGGCGGCUAGAUCAGUCGGAUGUGAAAGCCCCGGGCUUAACCUGGGAACUGCAUUCGAUACUGUCUAGCUAGAGUAUGGUAGAGGGAAGUGGAAUUCCGGGUGUAGCGGUGAAAUGCGUAGAUAUCCGGAGGAACACCAGUGGCGAAGGCGGCUUCCUGGACCAAUACUGACGCUGAGGUGCGAAAGCGUGGGGAGCAAACAGGAUUAGAUACCCCCGUAGUCC
rnacentral:rRNA from 1 species